UCUAAGUGCCCUGGAACGGGCCGUCAUAGAGGGUGAGAAUCCCGUCUGGGAUGGGCGGCCGCGCCCGUGUGAAGCUCCUUCGACGAGUCGAGUUGUUUGGGAAUGCAGCUCUAAGCGGGUGGUAAAUUUCAUCUAAAGCUAAAUACUGGCCGGAGACCGAUAGCGCACAAGUAGAGUGAUCGAAAGAUGAAAAGCACUUUGAAAAGAGAGUUAAAUAGCACGUGAAAUUGUUGAAAGGGAAGCGUUGUCCACCAGACUCGCCCGGGGGGGCUCAGCCGGCACGUGUGCCGGUGUACUCCUCUCCGGGCGGGCCAGCAUCGGUUUGGGCGGCUGGUGAAAGGCCCCGGGAAUGUACCACCCUCCGGGGUGUCUUAUAGCCCGGGGUGCCAUGCAGCCAGCCUGGACCGAGGCUCGCGCUUCGGCGAGGAUGCUGGCGUAAUGGUGGUCAACG
rnacentral:rRNA from 1 species